rnacentral:rRNA from 1 species
AUGCUUAUUGAUUCGGAUGUAUGGACUAGCCCCAUGGUGUCAAUGAAUGGGAAGAAGUAUUUUGCUACCUUUAUUAACUGCUAUUCUCGUAUGACUUGGAUUUACUUGAUGCGUCACAAGGAUGAGGUGUUUAGCUGUUUUCAGAACUUUCAUGCUCUUGUAAAGAACCAGUUUCAGGUGCAGGUCAAGGUGCUCCGGACUGAAAAUGGCAGAGAGUAUGUGAACAACAGUUUGGGGGCUUUCAUGGCUGACCAAGGGAUUCUACAUCAAACUUCAUGUCCGGACACCCCCCCCUCAGAAUGGAGUGGCCGAAAGGAAGAAUCGUCAUAUUCUUGA